rnacentral:lncRNA from 1 species
GAAUGGCUGUUGGUAUCCUCCCGGUCUUCCUCCAUGGCCGAAAAGGAAAAUAUGCUCCCAUGGAAACCAGGAUAACAGAUGACCAGAUGGCUUACAUUCUCAAGCUAGGCUUUUGUUCGUUUUUCAGUCAUCAAGCCUAACUGAGCAUCCACUCUGUUGCUGAAAUGCUGCUGGGGAUACAAAGACAAAUGAAGUGCCGUCUCCGUUCUGAUGUGACAAAGAGACUAGAGGAAGAUGAACAUGUGAACACACACAGUCCAAUGAGAAGAGGUAGGAGGGAGUUAUGCAGAAGGUGCCUUGGAUACAAAGAA